CCAACCCAUGACAGUCUUAAUUCAUAUCUACUUCCAACAUAUGACCGACUGUGGAUGGUUUGAAUAACUUAGUCAUUCCGGAAGAAUAACCUAGUUUAUUCGGGAAGUCAAAACAUGCAAAGUGAAACACAAUAAUAAUUGAAUCCAAUAUGGUAUCAANAUCCAAUACUCAGAACUUAUGAGCACUCAUGAGUGUUGUAGCACAACUUUGUCCACCAACUUAGACCUCUACAAGCCAACCCAUGACAGUCUUGAUUCAUAUCUACUUCCAACAUAUGACCGACUGUGGAUGGUUUGAAUAACUUAGUCAUUCCGGAAGAAUAACCUAGCUUAUUCUGGAAGUCAAAACAUGCAAAGUGAAACACAAGAAUAAAUGAAUCAAAUAUGGUAUCAAACCCUAUGAAUAUAAAUAAACACUUUUAUUUAUCACCAUACUAAUUACUCAUUAUUCAUUGUUUCGGUUUUAUCAACUUUAUACUUGAAUUAAAAACACUAGUUGUCCCAUGCUCCAAGCAUGUGCACUAUGUUUUUCUUAAAUAAUAGCUUUGCCAUACACCAAGUAUGCACUCUAUGUUUGUCUAUGAUCCUUACUUUGUGACUUUCUAGGGAAAGACUUUGCGUAGUACCCAGCCCCGACUUGGAAUUCCAGAGGUUUUCUUCAUUCAUUAGCAUAACUCUUUUGUCUGUCUCGUGAUGCUUGAAGUCGAGUUCUGAUUUGGAUUAUCUUCUCUGUCAUU
rnacentral:lncRNA from 1 species